CACAUAACCCGUGGCAAUGGCUGCAGCAGCACGGCGUGUAAUCUGGAUGGACAUGUCAGGGUACACGUGCACUUACUUCAAGAUGACGACACUCCACCUCAAGAACAGCCUCUCCUCAAUGAUAAGUAGCGAGAUUAAAUGAAAGGAAGAUAUCACAUCCGUAACCAGACUGAUACUGUGUUUUCCUUUCAUUUAACCUCCUUCUGCAUUUAAGCAAGCAUUGAUAUGCCCAAUAAAUGUUUUUGUUAAAUUUC
rnacentral:lncRNA from 1 species